rnacentral:rRNA from 1 species
AAUGGGGGCAACCCUGAUCCAGCCAUGCCGCGUGAAUGAUGAAGGCCUUCGGGUUGUAAAAUUCUUUUGGUGGGGACGAUGAUGACGGUACCCACAGAAUAAGCUCCGGCUAACUUCGUGCCAGCAGCCGCGGUAAUACGAAGGGGGCUAGCGUUGUUCGGAAUUACUGGGCGUAAAGGGCGCGUAGGCGGCUUGAUAAGUUGGAUGUGAAAUCCCAGGGCUCAACCCUGGAAUUGCAUUCAAGACUAUCUUGCUUGAAUUCGGUAGAGGUUGGUGGAAUUCCCAGUGUAGAGGUGAAAUUCGUAGAGAUUGGGAAGAAUAUCCGUGGCGAAGGCGGCCAACUGGACCGACAUUGACGCUGAGGCGCGAAAGCGUGGGGAGCAAA